rnacentral:misc_RNA from 1 species
UCUCCGUAGGUGAACCUGCGGAAGGAUCAUUGUUGUAUAACCGAGGUGCGAGGGCUGUCGCUGACCCGAAAGGUCGUGCACGCCCGAGUGCCCUCACACACAUCCAUCUCACCCCUAUGUGCACCACCGCGUGGGUCCCCCUUUGGCUUGUUCGGAGGGGGGCUUACGUUUUCACACAAACUUUGUAUGCAGUGUAGAAUGUAUUUUUUGUUUUUGCGAUCACGCAAUCAAUACAACUUUCAACAACGGAUCUCUUGGCUCUC